AUGCUGCAUCUGUUGAUGAUUGGUGAACCUGUUUUAUUGCCAUUUUUUCACCGUCAGAGUUUCACAACAUCUCAGAUAGAUAUUGAGUAUAACAAGGGUACAAAAAUGGUUCUUUCGUAAAAGGAUUCUUAAUUUCUUAUGCACCUAUAAGGAAACUUAGAACCUUACGAAUUCAGCAGUCUUGAUCAUAUCAACAUGGCCUCUGGAGCUCAGAGCUCUGUAUAUCACAUCAGAUUCUUUGAAAGCAUCUGCUUCGAUCACCACUGCAUCGGCUCCUGCCCAAAAAGUAACCUGACUAAUCAUGAGAUCUGCAUGGCUCCAGUGGUAAGCGAAGUAACUGAGUAUACAUCUCUCAAACUCCUCAACGAGC